rfam:Ciona savignyi cont_46392, whole genome shotgun sequence.
AUUUUAUCGCAUCGUUUUAUACCGCUGUGGUGUUGCGUGGUUGAUGCGAAUAAAAGUACUUUAACCUGGGACGGAAACGAUUCGUUUCCUCUAUGUAUUAAUCGGAUUUUUGAACUUGGAGUAUGGUGCUGGAGCUUGCUCCACCCUGCUCACGGGUUGUCCUGGUAUUGCAGUACCUCCAGGUUCGGCUCACGUUUC